CCCGCUGAACUUAAGCAUAUCAAUAAGCGGAGGAAAAGAAACUAACAAGGAUUCCCCUAGUAACUGCGAGUGAAGCGGGAAGAGCUCAAAUUUGAAAUCUGGCGUGCCUCUGGUCGUCCGAGUUGUAGUCUGGAGAAGCGUCUUCCGUGUUGGUCCGUGUAUAAGUCUCUUGGAACAGGGCAUCAUAGAGGGUGAGAAUCCCGUCUUUGACACGGACUGCCAAUGCUUUGUGAUGCGCUCUCAAAGAGUCGAGUUGUUUGGGAAUGCAGCUCAAAAUGGGUGGUAAAUUCCAUCUAAAGCUAAAUAUAGGCGAGAGACCGAUAGCGAACAAGUACCGUGAGGGAAAGAUGAAAAGCACUUUGGAAAGAGAGUUAAACAGUACGUGAAAUUGCUGAAAGGGAAACGCUUGAAGUCAGUCGUGUCUGCCAGGACUCAGCCUUGCUUCUGCUUGGUGUACUUUCUGGUUGGAUGGGCCAACAUCAAUUUCGACCAUUGGAGAAAGGCUUUGGGAAUGUGGCACCUUUGGGUGUGUUAUAGCCCUUUGUUGUAUACAGUGGCUGGGAUUGAGGACCGCAGCAUGCCUUUAUGGCCGGGGUUCGCCCACGUACGUGCUUAGGAUGUUGGCGUAAUGGCUUUAAGCGACCCGUCUUGAAACACGG
rnacentral:rRNA from 1 species